rnacentral:rRNA from 1 species
GAUGAACGCUGGCGGCGUGCCUAAUACAUGCAAGUCGAGCGAACAGACGAGGAGCUUGCUCCUCUGACGUUAGCGGCGGACGGGUGAGUAACACGUGGAGAACCUACCUAUAAGACUGGGAUAACUUCGGGAAACCGGAGCUAAUACCGGAUAAUAUAUUUAACCGCAUGGUGCAAUAGUGAAAGACGGUUUGGCUGUCACUUAUAGAUGGUUCCCGGCCGCAUUAGCUAGUUGGUAAGGUAACGGCUUACCAAGGCAAGGAAGCGUAGCCGACCUGAGAGACUGAUAGGCGACACUGGAACGGAGCCAGGGUCACGGCGACUACGGGAGGCAGCAGAAGGGAAUGGUACGCAGCGGGCGAAAGCCUGACGGAGCAACGGCGAGUGAGUGAUGACGGCCUUCGGAGCGUAAAACUGUGUUACUGGGGAAGAACAAAUGUGUAAGUAAAUGUGCACGUAUUGACGGUACCUACUCAGAAAGCACCGGCUAACUACGUG